GAUUUUUGUUAAUCAGAUGUAGUUGGUUUCUUUUUGGGUUUUGUUAAAUUCUUGAAAUUGAGCUUAAAGAUUGAGUCUUUCUUGUGUAAUCCAAAAGAAAUUUUUGGCUGUUUUUCCAUUCUUGAAGUUGAGCUUAAAGAUUGAGUACCAAAAGAAAUUUCUAAGUUUUUUCUUUCCAUACUUGAGAAAUUGAGCUUAAAGAUUUAGUCUUUCUUGUUUAAACCAAAAGAAAAUUCAUGAGGUUUUUCCUUUCUUGAAUAUUGAGCUUAAAGAUUCAAUCUUUCUUGUUAACCAAAAGAAAUUUCUGGGUGUUUUUCCAUUCUUGAUUAUUGAGCUUAAAGAUUAAGUCUUUAUUGUAAACCAAAAAGGAAUUUCUGGGUGUUUUCAUAUUCUUGAAGUUGAGUUUAAAGAAUUGUGGGUGUUUGUUUCAUUCCUUUAUUUGAUCAAUUCUGGUUUAGGAAAGUUCACGGAUUUCAAUAUUAUAGGAUGCGUACAAAAAAUAGAAUAGAAAAGAAAAAGUGUUGCCACCUUUCUAAGAUGGUAUAACGCAUAUACGUGUCCCCAAAUAUUUGAGGUUCAAUCAUUUGUGUUUAAUUUUGCAGUGGUGUACACUGAAAAACUUCUCAAGAAUGACAUUUAGCAUGAGAAUCAUCGCAAUGACGAUAACUCAAUUACCUACUAAAGCCUCUUUCUUCUUGCAGUUGUAAGGCCUAUUCUGGACUUUUUUGAAUCAUCUAAGAGAAUUUCAGCAUCUGCUCUAUGUAAUGUUAUGUGCAUGUCUUAUCUAAUCGUUGUUUUGGAAUUGCGAAGCUGGGGAGGGAAUCAAAUUAGGUCCACCAACCUCAGCCAAACAAGCUAGGGCUUGAGAAAGCUUAUCCACAGCCAUCCCAGCCAGCCAAGCCAAGCCAUGUGCAGGCUCAUUUGCAUCCAAUCCAGGUACAUAAACCUAAUUUCUCACACGUUGUCGGUGGUUAGAUAUCGCUAUUUCUAUUUUAUAAAUGGCAUUAGCACUAUUACCAUUUGAAGCCAUAUUUGAAACCAUGACUGCCACUGCAAUACAAAGCAAUGAGUAAUGUUUUCCGAAAUAACACUCCGAUUAAAUCAUCCUAGACAAAUUUAAGUAAAUCCAAACUCAUGGUGCAAUUUAAUGAAAUCAGAAACCAAAAUAAGAAUAAUUUAAUUAGCAAUUUCUGUAAAACGCGUAACGUGUUUCAAACACAAACUCCGAUCAAAAUGCAGUUCUAUAUUGUAACAAACAGAUAAAUU